rnacentral:rRNA from 1 species
GCCAGUAGACCACGUUCGAAACACCGGUUCUCGUCUAAUCACCGAGGUUAAGCAACGUCGGGCCCGGUUAGUACUUGCACGAGUGACCGGCUAGGAGUACCGGGUGUUGCGGCC